rnacentral:rRNA from 1 species
UGAGUAAUGCUUAGGAAUCUGCCUAUUAGUGGGGGACAACAUUCCGAAAGGAAUGCUAAUACCGCAUACGCCCUACGGGGGAAAGCAGGGGAUCUUCGGACCUUGCGCUAAUAGAUGAGCCUAAGUCAGAUUAGCUAGUUGGUGGGGUAAAGGCCUACCAAGGCGACGAUCUGUAGCGGGUCUGAGAGGAUGAUCCGCCACACUGGGACUGAGACACGGCCCAGACUCCUACGGGAGGCAGCAGUGGGGAAUAUUGGACAAUGGGCGAAAGCCUGAUCCAGCCAUGCCGCGUGUGUGAAGAAGGCCUUUUGGUUGUAAAGCACUUUAAGCGAGGAGGAGGCUACUUGGAUUAAUACUCUAGGAUAGUGGACGUUACUCGCAGAAUAAGCACCGGCUAACUCUGUGCCAGCAGCCGCGGUAAUACAGAGGGUGCGAGCGUUAAUCGGAUUUACUGGGCGUAAAGCGUGCGUAGGCGGCUUUUUAAGUCGGAUGUGAAAUCCCUGAGCUUAACUUAGGAAUUGCAUUCGAUAC